rnacentral:lncRNA from 1 species
GCUGUGAGACAAUUGAAAAUUGGAGUCUUGAGCUGGUGGAAGCUAUUGGGAGAUACAAUGUCGUGAGGAGAAGCUCUGAAAAUGUCAUGGGAUGAGUUCUUGGAACAACUGAAGACGCAGUACUGUUCAGAGAUAGAUUUGAUUGAUCUGAACAAUGAGUUCCAAAAUUUGAAAAAGGGGAGAAUGAGCAUCGAUGACUAUGCUGUUGCAUUUACGGAAACUAUGAAGUUGUUUCCAUACCUACUGCCAACCGAACUUUCCAAAAUUGAGAAGUUCGCAAACGAACUGCCGGCUGACUUUGGCCCAACAGUCAAGAUGAUCUUUAUGAUAAUAUUGUUUUGGGACAAAUUCCACAAUUCAUUUAUUAAAAGAUUACUCUGAUUUUGAAAUAAAGCAUAAACAAAACCGGUCUUUUCUGGCCGUGAUUUUGGGGAUGUCACAGUUGGUAUCAGAGCAUUAGUUUAAGCGAACUAGGAAUUUGUAGGAUUUCUAGACUUAAACUUAGAAUGCUAAGCGAUGAUUGUGAGGUGUGAGCACUAGCUUAUUUUAGGAAUUGUACCUAAAAUGCUUUUUUGUGAUAAACGCUUUGUGCAUCAUAUGCUGUUAUUUGUUCGGAUCUAUGGUCUGUUGCCGACCGGAUCUGGAAACCUUAUGUGUUUAGGAUUCUAAACGUACGACUACGAUAUUUGAACUAGCAUGUAAACGUUUCGGAGUGAUAAGGACGAUUUAAACGUCUAUCUAAAUAAAGAUCUAAAUUCACCUUAUUCGGUGUAUGGAUCAAGAUGGCAAGGACCCGUAGCGGAAACGUGAAUGAAAAUGGAGAUAGGAACCAACCCCCAGUGGUUCAGCAAAUACCUGUUGUUGAAGAAGUUGCGCCUGAGCCAGUCACCAUGGCUGGAGUUCAAGCCAUGAUUCAGGCUAUGCUAGCUGAACAAAGGGAAGAAAUGAGACGGAUGCUCCACGAAAAUAGGGACGAACCUACCAUACAUGUUGAACCGACGGAGCCAGUUCCCGAGCCAUCUGAGGAAGGGAACUAUAGCCGCCAAGUGAGUCAAGUAGGGACUCAAGGUGAGCAAAAGGAUGGCCCAGAAGGGAGAAACAACAAGGAUGGGCGGAUGUACAAAAAUUUCUUGGGUGCGAAACCACCAAGUCUCUCAGGAAGCCCAAAGCCUGUUGAGAUUAUGGACUGGAUCUCCGAGAUGGAGAUGGUGUUUGAGAGCUGCGACUGCAGCGAGAAGCAGAAGACUGUCUUCGCUGUGAGACAAUUGAAAACUGGAGUCUUGAGCUGGUGGAAGCUAUUGGCAGAUACAAUGCCACGGGGAGAAGCUCUGAAAAUGUCAUGGGAUGAGUUCUUGGAACAACUGAAGGCGCAGUACUGUUCAGAGAUAGACCUGAUUGAUCUGAACAAUGAGUUCCAAAAUUUGAAGAAGGGGAGAAUGAGCAUCGAUGACUAUGCUGCUGCAUUUACGGAAAAGAUGAAGUUGUUUCCAUACCUAGUGCCAACCGAACUUUCCAAAAUUGAGAAAUUCGCAAACGGACUGCCGGCUGACUUUGGCCCAACAGUCAAGAUGGCAACCACUCUGAAAUCAGCUGUUC